UACGUAGGGUGCGAGCGUUAAUCGGAAUUACUGGGCGUAAAGCGUGCGCAGGCGGUUCGUUAAGUCAGAUGUGAAAGCCCCGGGCUCAACCUGGGAACUGCAUUUGAAACUGGCGGGCUUGAGUGUGGCAGAGGGGGGUGGAAUUCCGCGUGUAGCAGGUGAAAUGCGUAGAGAUGCGGAGGAACACCGAUGGCGAAGGCAGCCCCCCUGGGCCAACACUGACGCUCAGGCACGAAAGCGUGGGGAGCAAACAGG
rnacentral:rRNA from 1 species